rnacentral:tRNA from 1 species
AGCUCAGUCAGAGCGCGGUGCUGAUAACACCGAGGUCGUGGGUUCGAUCCCCGC